ACGCUGGCGGCGUGCCUAAUACAUGCAAGUCGAACGGCUUUUCUAUGGAAGCUUGCUUCCACUGAGAAGAUAGUGGCGGACGGGUGAGUAACACGUGGGUAACCUGCCCAUAAGAGGGGGAUAACAUCCGGAAACGGGUGCUAAUACCGCAUAGUUUUCUUGAUCGCAUGAUCGGGAAAGGAAAGACGGCCUUUGUGCUGUCGCUUAUGGAUGGACCCGCGGCGUAUUAGUUAGUUGGUGAGGUAAUGGCUCACCAAGACGAUGAUACGUAGCCGACCUGAGAGGGUGAUCGGCCACAUUGGGACUGAGACACGGCCCAAACUCCUACGGGAGGCAGCAGUAGGGAAUCUUCCGCAAUGGACGAAAGUCUGACGGAGCAACGCCGCGUGAGUGAAGAAGGUUUUUCCGGAUCGUAAAACUCUGUUGUCAGAGAAGAACAAGUUGGAGAGUAACUGCUCCAGCCUUGACGGUAUCUGACCAGAAAGCCACGGCUAACUACGUGCCAGCCGCUGC
rnacentral:rRNA from 1 species